rnacentral:rRNA from 1 species
UACGUAGGUGGCAAGCGUUGUCCGGAUUUACUGGGCGUAAAGGGUAUGCAGGCGGAUACUUAAGUAGGAAGUGAAAGGUUGGAGCUCAACUCCAACACUGCUUCCUAUACUGGGUGUCUUGAGUGGCGGAGAGGAAGAUGGAACAAAUCGUGUAGCGGUGAAAUGCGUAGAUAUGAUUUGGAACACCAAUGGCGAAAGCAAUCUUCUGGACGCAAACUGACGCUGAGAUACGAAAGCUAUGGUAGCGAACAGG